rnacentral:rRNA from 1 species
AUUGCCUCAGUAACGGCGAGUGAAGCGGCAACAGCUCAAAUUUGAAAUCUGGCUCACGCCCGAGUUGUAAUUUGCAGAGGAUGCUUUUGGCGAGGCGCCUUCCGAGUUCCCUGGAACGGGACGCCACAGAGGGUGAGAGCCCCGUAAGGUCGGACGCCGAGCCUCUGUAAAGCUCCUUCGACGAGUCGAGUAGUUUGGGAAUGCUGCUCAAAAUGGGAGGUAAAUUUCUUCUAAAGCUAAAUACAGGCCAAAGACCGAUAGCGCACAAGUAGAGUGAUCGAAAGAUGAAAAGCACUUUGAAAAGAGGGUUAAACAGCACGUGAAAUUGUUGAAAGGGAAGCGCUCGUGACCAGACUUGCGCCCGGCGGAUCAGCCAGCGUUCUCGCUGGUGCCUCCGCCGGGUCCAGGCCAGCAUCGGUCUCCGCGGGGGGAUAAAGGCCUAGGGAACGUGACUCCCCCGGGAGUGUUAUAGCCCUUGGCAGAAUACCGCCGCGGGGACCGAGGACCGCGCUACGGCAAGGAUGCUGGCGUAAUGGUCACCAGCGACCCGUCUUGAAACACGGACCAAGGAGUCAAGCAUUAGGGCGAGUGUCUGGGUGUAAAACCCGCACGCGUAAUGAAAGUGAACGCUGGUGAGAGCUUCGGCGCAUCAUCGACCGAUCCUGAUGUUCUCGGACGGAUUUGAGUAAGAGCCUUACCGCUUGGACCCGAAAGUUGAUGAACUAUGCCUGUAUAGGGUGAAGCCAGAGGAAACUCUGGUGGAGGCUCGCAGCGGUUCUGACGUGCAAAUCGAUCGUCAAAUAUGGGCAUGGGGGCGAAAGUGAGUCACAUUUGCUC